UACGUAGGGCGCAAGCGUUGUCCGGAAUUAUUGGGCGUAAAGAGCUCGUAGGCGGCUUGUCACGUCGGAUGUGAAAGCCCGGGGCUUAACCCCGGGUCUGCAUUCGAUACGGGCAGGCUGGAGUUCGGUAGGGGAGACUGGAAUUCCUGGUGUAGCGGUGAAAUGCGCAGAUAUCAGGAGGAACACCGGUGGCGAAGGCGGGUCUCUGGGCCGAUACUGACGCUGAGGAGCGAAAGCGUGGGGAGCGAACAGG
rnacentral:rRNA from 1 species